rnacentral:rRNA from 1 species
CCGGAGGCAGGAAAGGCUUCGGCCGGACAGGGAUAGGCAUGCGGCGCAUUAGGCAGUAGGCGGGGUAACGGCCCACCUAACCGACGAUGCGUAGGGGUUCUGAGAGGAAGGUCCCCCACACUGGUACUGAGACACGGACCAGACUCCUACGGGAGGCAGCAGUGAGGAAUAUUGGUCAAUGGUCGGGAGACUGAACCAGCCAAGCCGCGUGAGGGAUGAAGGUACAGAGUAUCGUAAACCUCUUUUGUCAGGGAACAAAGGCGGGGACGUGUCCCCGGAUGAGUGUACCUGAAGAAAAAGCAUCGGCUAACUCCGUGCCAGCAGCCGCGGUAAUACGGAGGAUGCGAGCGUUAUCCGGAUUUAUUGGGUUUAAAGGGUGCGCAGGCGGUCUGUUAAGUCAGCGGUCAAAGCCCGGGGCUCAACCCCGGCCCGCCGUUGAAACUGGCAGUCUCGAGUUGGAGAGAAGUAUGCGGAAUGCGCGGUGUAGCGGUGAAAUGCAUAGAUAUCGCGCAGAACUCCGAUUGCGAAGGCAGCAUGCCGGCUCCACACUGACGCUGAGGCACGAAAGCGUGGGUAUCGAACAGGAUUAGAUACCCUGGUAGUCCACGCAGUAAACGAUGAAUGCUGGCUGUCCGGG